ensembl:lncRNA
CAGCCACCACUGCUGUCAUGUGAUGAGUCGGCCUCUGUCUGUGUCAGCCAUGGUUGAAAGAAAGCUCAGAUUCACUCACAGAUACAUCACUAUGCAAAGAGUCAAAGCUCUCCCCUUGAUUCUUUGCAGAGAAGAGGAAUAUACAUUUCUGUUGGAAAACUCGAGCCACUGCAGCCACUGAAAAAGAAGACUAAAAUUAGUCCAGCAUCUCAGGAGCAAAGCCCACAUCAACCAGGGACUCUCCUUAACUCUCCACUGACGAACCUGCUCAUCUAAUGAAGUUUGGAGGCCAAUAACAACAUCAAAGCCAGAAUCUGGAAGUUAAUUAGGCUUCUCUUUUUCUCUUAGAACAUACUCUCUUUGAGAAACCUAUUAGCAUGUGCCAUCAAGAAAUACUUGGGACGUUUCAGUCGGCGCUAGUAAAUGGGCUCUCCUCUGUUACUUUGGCUCACAUCCCUAAACUCCUGUCAGACAUCUACUCAUCCACAGCCCUCUCACCAGGGGUGGGAUAAGAUGUCCAAACUCUCCUCGACCUCCAACCCCCUCCCGUAUGUUUCGGUCAAGCCUUCAGUGCUUCCCUGGUCCUCCUGAGAGAGUUUUGCUGCCGAUGCAAACAUUAACAAACUGCACAUCUCACUGCCCUCCUGUUAAGAUAACACAAUUAGCAUGUGGACCCACCGCUCCGUCAAAUCUCACCCUCAAUACCAAUUAACACGUAACACAUCACAGAGUAACACUAAUUCUGAGAAGAAGGUUGAUAAGGUUCUUAUUUCCUUCAAGAUGCAACUCUCCUUUUCGCCUAUUUUGGCAAAAGGCUAAGUUAAAACCAGGUUUAGCUUGACAAAUAAUGAAGUUUUCAUCUAUACCACAAAGUAAAAUGUGUAGUUAGGUGUCAAUUCUGUAUCUCUCAUUUGAAGAAAGACACUAACUAUAACAUAUGAAAUGAAUGAUAUCCAAUUAACUUACUUUAUUAAGGUAAUUACUGAUAUGCAUAAUAGUCUAAUAUGCCUAUUUUAAUUAUGCUUGCAAGGGAAUAAUUUAACAUUGUAAUAAUUAGGCACAUUUUAAUUAGUGAGAUUAUUGUAUACAUAAUGAGGUGUACCACUUUUAUUCACUUAGAAAUAUGAAGAUAUUUGACAAUAGCUUUGAAAAUCACCAUGGAAAAAGAUACAACAUUACACAUUCACAUAAUUCAAAUCAAAUAAAAUAUGUAGUCAUAUGUAGUAAUGGGGAAUU